AUCACUGGGCGUAAAGCGCGCGCAGGCGGCCUUUUUAAGUUGGAUGUGAAAGCCUACGGCUCAACCGUAGAACUGCAUCCAAAACUACUAGGCUAGAGUCUGGGAGGGGAAGAUGGAAUUAGUUGUGUAGGGGUAAAAUCCGUAGAGAUAACUAGGAAUACCAAAAGCGAAGGCAAUCUUCUGGAACAGUACUGACGCUGAGGCGCGAAAGCGUGGGGAGCAAACAGGAUUAGAUACCCUGGUAGUCCACGCCCUAAACGAUGAAUGUUAGUCGUCGGGUAGCUAGUCUAUUCGGUGAUGCAGUUAACACAUUAAACAUUCCGCCUGGGGAGUACGGUCGCAAGAUUAAAACUCAAAGGAAUAGACGGGGACCCGCACAAGUGGUGGAGCAUGUGGUUUAAUUCGAAGAUACGCGAAGAACCUUACCUAGCCUUGACAUAUUUUAGAACACUUUAGAGAUAGAGUGGUGCCUUCGGGAGCUAAUAUACAGGUGCUGCACGGCUGUCGUCAGCUCGUGUCGUGAGAUGUUGGGUUAAGUCCCGCAACGAGCGCAACCCUCGUCACUAGUUACUAACGGUUCGGCCGAGGACUCUAGUGAGACUGCCUUCGCAAGGAGGAGGAAGGUGAGGACGACGUCAAGUCAUCAUGGCCCUUACGGCUAGGGCAACACACGUGCUACAAUGGCCAGGACAAUGAGAAGCAAUACCGCGAGGUGGAGCAAAUCUAUAAACCUGGUCUCAGUUCGGAUUGUUCUCUGCAACUCGAGAGCAUGAAGCUGGAAUCACUAGUAAUCGUAGAUCAGCUAUGCUACGGUGAAUACGUUCCCGGGUCUUGUACUCACCGCCCGUCACACCAUGGGAGUUGAUUUCACCCGAAGCGGGGAAGCUAAACUGGCUACCCUCCACGGUGGAAUCAGCGACUGGGGUG
rnacentral:rRNA from 1 species